UGGACAUGAGUUUGAGAAACUCCAUGAGGUGGUGAAGGACAGGGAAGCCUGGCAUGCUGCAGUUCAUAGAGUUGCAAGUAGUCAGACACAGCUUAGCGACUGAAAACCAAUGGUGACCUCCAAGAGGGCUCACACCAAGGGCACUUCCUAGGACUGCUGCUGCCAGCGCCCCCAUCCCUGCAGCGAGCUACUGCUGACCUACGCCGCCGCAAGAGUUCAUCGAACACUGGCUGGCAGAUUCUUUACCAGCUGAGCUACAAGGGAAACCCAUGAAUAGUGGAGGAUCCUGCAAAUCAACAGGACCAAAGGAACAUCCAGUCCAGCUGGUGGGAAGGACAUCUUAGUGUUAUUGUUCACUUAGUCCUGACCUCUGGAUGUAAAGUGCCCAUUCUUCUAGUUCUCAUCUAUCUGUGAUUUCUCAUGAUCUUGCAAUCUAAGGACUAAAUGGUAAGUAUAAUCACUACCAGUACACUCUAUAAAUAAUCUUGGGAUUCAGGAGCCUCAAUGGUUGCUAUAGAAAGAAAGGAAAGAGAAGAAAACAGUGGCAGUUAUUUUAAAAGAAGGAAAAAAUGGGUACUUUUUCAGUCUUCAGACCUUCCAGCAAUAUAUUCCUGCUACCGUUGAAGUUGUAACUGGUGUGUAUGACAAUCCAUUACACACUUCCUUGUUUGCAGCUAAUAACUGACUGAGAACAUUGCCUACUAGGGUAUUAAGCUGUCAUUUGUAGGGGUCUAAGCCUUUGGUGAUCUUCAGUGCCAACUGUGUUGAACUAAAUAAGGCAAUGUAGCAGAUUAGAGAACAACUCUAAGGUGGAGUGACUGGAAACCAGUGAAUGUUUUUUCAAUAAAUGGUGUCUAGUUAAUAAUGAAACUGAAGCACAGAGUGUUUAUUAACUCUUCAGCCUCAGAGUCAGGAUUUAAAGUCAAGCUUUCCUCAUGGUUAUGUUAUCCUGCUGCUGCACUGUUACUGUAGAGAUUGCAUGUGGGCACUGAGACUUCCAUAGCUCGGAUUAGGUCAGGUUUUAGUUCUUCAGCCUUAACUAGCCAUUGUGACCAAGAGCAAGUUAUUUCAUUUUCUAAGUUUCAGUCUUUUCAUUUAUAAAAUGACAUACCUUUGUGCAUGGCACAAUACCUAUCAUUUGAUAAGUAGAUUUAUUAAACGGUGGCUAUUAUUAAUUCAAUAAAAAUCUACUUAGCAUUCUAUGGCAGGCACUGCGUGUACAGUGCUGCACAAGAUGGACAUAAUUCCUGUGCUCAUGGAUAUUCCAAUUAAUAGUAUCUAAACCGAGCCAUAAAAUGAAAAUAAAGAUGUGUAGUCCACAUGAUUGCUCCCUUGCCCUGGAUUACGAACAUGGAGAUUGACAUGGGACCAUAAUGAUGAUUGUGAGCAGAAAAAGACUGAUCAGGAAAGAAAAUAAGCCUGGAACAAUCAAGAGUAAAAGAAUAAAAGAAGCAAGACAGGAAUCUGACAUGAAAUCAAGAAAACUCCCAAGAGAAAGAAUACUGCCUGGUUUUCUAGCUUGUAAAUCAGGAUUUUACAAGAAAAGUGGGCAGAAUUGUCCAAGAGGUUCUUGUCAUAGAACAGGAAAUUGGAAUAAGUGAAAUGAUUUUUGAGAAACUGUGGAGAUGAAGUGAUGGAUAUUCUCUAUACACUGUAGAAAGCAUUAUUAAAGAGAAGGAAAUGAGAAACAUUAAAAAAAAAAUCAUCCUCUUGAUCUGGAGAACAGCCAUGCUUUGUAAUAUGAGCCAAGAGAUAAAACUGAGUUUGUCUGUCAAGGCGGGUAGGGAGAUAAGCCUUUUUUCAGGCUAAAUUCCCUUGCCACCUGGGUUUGUUUUCUUAACUGUAAAUGAGCACUGGGAAAAGAACAGGCUUUAGAGAUUCUGCCCAAGCAAUUUACGGAACAUUUUCUUGGUAAUAACUAUUAUAGCUCUUUUUUCAGUCAGGCUCACACACAGGAUUGAAUGUUGGUUUUUGAUAGCAAGUAUCUUUAACAAUUAUCAAUGUACCAAAAUAAUUCUAAAAGUGCCUAAGGAAUUACAAGGAGGAAGAUAAGUGAAUUACAUAUAUUAAUCCUUGGAAUGACCUAACAUAAAAUUCUACAGAUUUACCCUUAUGGUUGUGGUUAUGUAAUUUGACC